rnacentral:rRNA from 1 species
CAGUGUGACUCGUCACACUAUCAUUAACUGAAUCCAUAGGUUAAUGAGGCGAACCGGGGGAACUGAAACAUCUAAGUACCCCGAGGAAAAGAAAUCAACCGAGAUUCCCCCAGUAGCGGCGAGCGAACGGGGAGGAGCCCAGAGCCUGAAUCAGCAUGUGUGUUAGUGGAAGCGUCUGGAAAGGCGCGCGAUACAGGGUGACAGCCCCGUACACAAAAGCGCAUGUGCUGUGAGCUCGAUGAGUAGGGCGGGACACGUGGUAUCCUGUCUGAAUAUGGGGGGACCAUCCUCCAAGGCUAAAUACUCCUGACUGACCGAUAGUGAACCAGUACCGUGAGGGAAAGGCGAAAAGAACCCCGGCGAGGGGAGUGAAAAAGAACCUGAAACCGUGUACGUACAAGCAGUGGGAGCACCCUUUGGGUGUGACUGCGUACCUUUUGUAUAAUGGGUCAGCGACUUAUAUUCUGUAGCAAGGUUAACCGAAUAGGGGAGCCGGAGGGAAACCGAGUCUUAAUUGGGCGUUAAGUUGCAGGGUAUAGACCCGAAACCCGGUGAUCUAGCCAUGGGCAGGUUGAAGGUUGGGUAACACUAACUGGAGGACCGAACCGACUAAUGUUGAAAAAUUAGCGGAUGACCUGUGGCUGGGGGUGAAAGGCCAAUCAAACCGGGAGAUAGCUGGUUCUCCCCGAAAGCUAUUUAGGUAGCGCCUCGUGAAUUCAUCUCCGGGGGUAGAGCACUGUUUCGGCUAGGGGGCCAUCCCGGCUUACCAACCCGAUGCAAACUGCGAAUACCGGAGAAUGUUAUCACGGGAGACACACGGCGGGUGCUAACGUCCGUCGUGAAGAGGGAAACAACCCAGACCGCCAGCUAAGGUCCCAAAGUCAUGGUUAAGUGGGAAACGAUGUGGGAAGGCCCAGACAGCCAGGAUGUUGGCUUAGAAGCAGCCAUCAUUUAAAGAAAGCGUAAUAGCUCACUGGUCGAGUCGGCCUGCGCGGAAGAUGUAACGGGGCUAAACCAUGCACCGAAGCUGCGGCAGCGACACUGUGUGUUGUUGGGUAGGGGAGCGUUCUGUAAGCCUGUGAAGGUGUGUCGUGAGGCAUGCUGGAGGUAUCAGAAGUGCGAAUGCUGACAUAAGUAACGAUAAAGCGGGUGAAAAGCCCGCUCGCCGGAAGACCAAGGGUUCCUGUCCAACGUUAAUCGGGGCAGGGUGAGUCGACCCCUAAGGCGAGGCCGAAAGGCGUAGUCGAUGGGAAACGGGUUAAUAUUCCCGUACUUGGUGUUACUGCGAAGGGGGGACGGAGAAGGCUAUGUUGGCCGGGCGACGGUUGUCCCGGUUUAAGCGUGUAGGUGUGUGUUCCAGGUAAAUCCGGUUCACUUUAACACUGAGGCGUGACGACGAGGCACUACGGUGCUGAAGCAACAAAUGCCCUGCUUCCAGGAAAAGCCUCUAAGCAUCAGGUAACAUCAAAUCGUACCCCAAACCGACACAGGUGGUCAGGUAGAGAAUACCAAGGCGCUUGAGAGAACUCGGGUGAAGGAACUAGGCAAAAUGGUGCCGUAACUUCGGGAGAAGGCACGCUGACACGUAGGUGAAGUGAUUUACUCAUGGAGCUGAAGUCAGUCGAAGAUACCAGCUGGCUGCAACUGUUUAUUAAAAACACAGCACUGUGCAAACACGAAAGUGGACGUAUACGGUGUGACGCCUGCCCGGUGCCGGAAGGUUAAUUGAUGGGGUCAGCGCAAGCGAAGCUCCUGAUCGAAGCCCCGGUAAACGGCGGCCGUAACUAUAACGGUCCUAAGGUAGCGAAAUUCCUUGUCGGGUAAGUUCCGACCUGCACGAAUGGCGUAAUGAUGGCCAGGCUGUCUCCACCCGAGACUCAGUGAAAUUGAACUCGCUGUGAAGAUGCAGUGUACCCGCGGCAAGACGGAAAGACCCCGUGAACCUUUACUAUAGCUUGACACUGAACAUUGAGCCUUGAUGUGUAGGAUAGGUGGGAGGCUUUGAAGUGUGGACGCCAGUCUGCAUGGAGCCGACCUUGAAAUACCACCCUUUAAUGUUUGAUGUUCUAACGUGGACCCGUUACCCGGGUUGCGGACAGUGUCUGGUGGGUAGUUUGACUGGGGCGGUCUCCUCCUAAAGAGUAACGGAGGAGCACGAAGGUUGGCUAAUCCUGGUCGGACAUCAGGAGGUUAGUGCAAUGGCAUAAGCCAGCUUGACUGCGAGCGUGACGGCGCGAGCAGGUGCGAAAGCAGGUCAUAGUGAUCCGGUGGUUCUGAAUGGAAGGGCCAUCGCUCAACGGAUAAAAGGUACUCCGGGGAUAACAGGCUGAUACCGCCCAAGAGUUCAUAUCGACGGCGGUGUUUGGCACCUCGAUGUCGGCUCAUCACAUCCUGGGGCUGAAGUAGGUCCCAAGGGUAUGGCUGUUCGCCAUUUAAAGUGGUACGCGAGCUGGGUUUAGAACGUCGUGAGACAGUUCGGUCCCUAUCUGCCGUGGGCGCUGGAGAACUGAGGGGGGCUGCUCCUAGUACGAGAGGACCGGAGUGGACGCAUCACUGGUGUUCGGGUUGUCAUGCCAAUGGCACUGCCCGGUAGCUAAAUGCGGAAGAGAUAAGUGCUGAAAGCAUCUAAGCACGAAACUUGCCCCGA